rfam:Pelagibaca abyssi strain JLT2014, complete genome.
GGGUCGGCAGUUCACCCAGUCUCCGCCAGUCGCUAAACCUGCAU